CCGUUAGCUCAGUUGGUAGAGCAUCUGACUUUUAAUCAGAGGGUCGCUGGUUCGAACCCAGCACGG
rnacentral:tRNA from 1 species